CUGAAUAAAAAUAGAGACUAAAGGCAGAUAGGAAUUUGUUACAGGCACUUAGAGACCACAGAUGAAGACUAAGCUGGACCUAACUUCUGCUGCCAUUGACACUGCAGUAGCAGCAACAUCACUGCUGGGCCUCCAGGGAGCAUUUUAACAGCUGGUGGACAGAGGUGCCAUUUUAAAUGCAAUGAGAAUACAGCUAGGAGAGUCUAUCUAUCAUCAACAAGAUUUAGUACUUCACUCACCAAUCAUGUGAUUUGCAACAUGAACCUGGAUAUCCCACUCAUUGUAGAAAACCAUCUGGCACUUGAUGCACUGAUAGGUCU